UAAGACGUACCACCCAAACGUUAUUCGGAUUCACUGGGCUUACAGAGUCCGUAGGCGGUCAAGAAAGUUAGGCGUGAAAUCCCUCAGCUCAACUGAGGAAUAGCGCUUAAAACUACUUGGCUAGAGAGGGUCAGAGGUGAGCGGAACUGAUGGUGGAGCGGUGAAAUGCGUUGAUAUCAUCAGGAACACCGGUGGCGAAAGCGGCUCACUGGGGCUUUUCUGACGCUGAGGGACGAAAGCUAGGGGAGCGAACGGGAUUAGAUACCCCGGUAGUCCUAGCCUUAAACGAUGAGCACUAGAUCGAGGGGACCCUCACAUCUCCUUGGUCGUAGGGAAACUGUUAAGUGCUCCGCCUGGGGAGUAUGGUCGCAAGGCUG
rnacentral:rRNA from 1 species